rnacentral:rRNA from 1 species
GCGCAAUGGGCGAAAGCCUGACGCAGCAACGCCGCGUGGGGGAUGAUGGCCUUCGGGUUGUAAACCUCUUUCGACAGGGACGAAGCUUUCGGGUGACGGUACCUGUAGAAGAAGCACCGGCUAACUACGUGCCAGCAGCCGCGGUAAUACGUAGGGUGCGAGCGUUGUCCGGAUUUAUUGGGCGUAAAGAGCUCGUAGGCGGUUUGUCGCGUCGGCCGUGAAAACCUGCAGCUUAACUGUGGGCGUGCGGUCGAUACGGGCAGACUUGAGUUCGGCAGGGGAGACUGGAAUUCCUGGUGUAGCGGUGAAAUGCGCAGAUAUCAGGAGGAACACCGGUGGCGAAGGCGGGUCUCUGGGCCGAUACUGACGCUGAGGAGCGAAAGCAUGGGGAGCGAACAGGAUUAGAUACCCUGGUAGUCCAUGCCGUAAACGUUGGGCGCUAGGUGUGGGGAUGGGUUCCACCGUUUCCGUGCCGUAGCUAACGCAUUAAGCGCCCCGCCUGGGGAGUACGGCCGCAAGGCU